rnacentral:rRNA from 1 species
GACGAACGUUGGCGGUGUGCUUAAUACAUGCUAGUCAACUGAAGCAGUGGUAGCAAUAUCGCUGUGGAGGUGGCGCCCGGGUGAGUAACACGUAGAUAAUCUGCCUUCAGGUCUGGCUUAACUCCGGGAAACCGGGGCUAAUAGCAGAUGAUGCAGCGGCUCGACAUCUAGACAGUUGUUAAAGCAAUGGCGCCUGAAGAUGAGCCUGCGUCUGAUUAGCUAGUUGGCGGGGUAACGGCCCACCAAGGCAACGAUCAGUCGCUGGUCUGAGAGGAUGAUCAGCCAGACUGGAACUGAGACACGGUCCAAAGACCUACGGGAUGCAGAAAUAAGGAAUAUUGCUAAAUGAGAGAAAUCCUGACGCAGCAACGCAGCGUGAGGGACGAAGGGCUUAUGCUUGUAAACCUCUGUAGUGAGAGAAAAAAAUCCCUAUCCUCGUGACAUGAUGGCACCUCACAAGUAGCCCCCGGCUAACUACGUG